UGGGGGGGGGGGCAGAAAUAGGAAGGGUGGAUGGAUGAAUAAAAAGAUGAUAGAUAGAUAGAUAGAUAGAUAGAUAGAUAGAUAGAUAGAUAGAUAAUAAAUAGAUAAUAGACAAUCAGUCAGUCAGACAGACAGAUAAUGAAUGGGUGAAUGCCUAACAAAGCGUUGAAUGUCUAAGCCCUCAAUCUCUUAUGCCUUAUUGAUUAGGGAAUAUUUUUAAGAUCUCUUCCAAGAUAUUCAGUAGAAUACAGAACGUAAGAAGCCUAAACGUUUCCGGAGACCAAUAGAAGAUGGAACUUGGCACGUCUCCAGCAGACAUCCAUUGACCUGGGGUCCAGCAACCGCUCUGAUGCUGUUAACAGCAGCAUUUUCUCAUGAUCUGCAAGAGCUUGAAAAGCUGCUACAGCCGGGACUCCAGCCGUCAUGACUGACGUGGAGCACGCGUACCUCCCUCCUGCUCACGUUGCUGCAGCUCCUGUCUGCUGCUUAGCUCCUCUCACUGACUGGUGUUAUACUCUCAUUAGUCAAUUCAGUCUUCACAAGCCUGUCGAGCUGGUACCACAGCGACAGUGUUUACCAUGAGGGUUGAACUAAAAAUGGAACUCCUCUCAGGACAGGUGGUGGAACUGGCUCUUAGUUAAGUCCGAGUCUAACGCCAGAUGUUUUAGCCUGAUUUCGCCCCUCCCUCCCAUUAUAAGCCAUAAUGUGUGCUCUCAUAUAACCUUGCAGGAGUAAUCUACGUUUCUACGUUAACGAUGGCUGUAUAAGACUCACACCCUUAUGGUCUAACCUUCCAUGUUUCUCUCAUAGGAUGCCCUCUUUUAUUUGUAGGAUAAGUAUUAUGAAAUGUAGUAUAGAGUUUUUGUUUGUUUUCUUUUUUGAAAUAGGGUUUCUCUAUAGAGCCCUGGCUGUCCUGGAAUUUACUAUGUAGAGCAGGCUGGCCUCAAACUCACAGAGAUCCCCCUGCUUCUGCCUCUGAGUGCUGGAAUUAAAGGCGUGCGCCACCAAGCCCAGCUCAUCAGUAUGGGUUUUAAAGGACCAACCAGUUCUCAGAUUCUUCACUGAAAGCAUCCUUCUGACCUCAUUCUCCUGUUGCCUUAGCAACUGUGAGUGAUGAUUGGCAGAGCACGUGUCUGGGGCCCUGGUACUCCCAUUGGUGAGUUCCUGAGGAAAGCGGGUGCUGCCGCAGGCCCCGUGAAACCCAGUGAGACUGCAUUCGUGGGCUGCCUACCAGGCUGGACAGUUCCUCGUGAUCCAGACCUGUCAGCUUAUCUGUGAACGAUCUAAGCUUGUGCCUGGAGUGUGUGUGAAUUCUGAUUGGAUGAGGUGGGGUGGAGCUAGAAGGAGGAGUCGGCAGCGAGUAGUGAGAAGAGUUUAGCCCUUGCUGCAAGAUGGAUGGAGUAGUAGAAGCUGCUGUUGUAAGUGGUAGAAGCUAGCUGUUGUAAAAGAAGCCAAUAGUAGUGAAGAGAGUUUUUUAGCCCUUGCCCUAGGUAGAAGCCAGAAGUAGUGAAUAAGAGUAGCUUUAGCUCUUGCUGUGAGUAGUGGUAGAGUAGUGAGUAGUUUAGCCCUUGCCCUAAGAAGAAGCUGCUGGGGAAGAGAGCUGUAAAAGAAAAAGCCUGAAGUAAAGGCAUUGCUGC
rnacentral:lncRNA from 1 species